rnacentral:rRNA from 1 species
AGUGAACGCUGGCGGUAGGCCUAACACAUGCAAGUCGAACGGCAGCACAGAGGAGCUUGCUCCUUGGGUGGCGAGUGGCGGACGGGUGAGGAAUACAUCGGAAUCUACUCUGUCGUGGGGGAUAACGGAGGGAAACUUACGCUAAUACCGCAUACGACCUACGGGUGAAAGCAGGGGACCUUCGGGCCUUGCGCGAGUGACUGAGCCGAUGUCGGAUUAGCUAGUUGGCGGGGUAAAGGCCCACCAAGGCGACGAUCCGUAGCUGGUCUGAGAGGAUGAUCAGCCACACUGGAACUGAGACACGGUCCAGACUCCUACGGGAGGCAGCAGUGGGGAAUAUUGGACAAUGGGCGCAAGCCUGAUCCAGCCAUACCGCGUGGGUGAAGAAGGCCUUCGGGUUGUAAAGCCCUUUUGUUGGGAAAGAAAUCCAGCUGGCUAAUACCCGGUUGGGAUGACGGUACCCAAAGAAUAAGCACCGGCUAACUUCGUGCCAGCAGCCGCCGUAA